UACGUAGGGUGCAGGCGUUAAUCGGAAUUACUGGGCGUAAAGCGUGCGCAGGCGGUGAUGUAAGACCGAUGUGAAAUCCCCGGGCUCAACCUGGGAACUGCCCUCCAAACUGUUUGACUUGAGUCCGGGAGAGGUGAGUGGAAUUCCCAGUGUAGGCGGUGAAAUGCGUAGAUAUUGGGAGGAACACCAGUGGCGAAGGCGGCUCACUGGACCGGAACUGACGCUGAGGCGCGAAAGCGUGGGGAGCAAACAGG
rnacentral:rRNA from 1 species